rnacentral:rRNA from 1 species
GGGUUGUGAGGUUAAGCGACUAAGCGUACACGGUGGAUGCCCUGGCAGUCAGAGGCGAUGAAGGACGUGCUAAUCUGCGAUAAGCGUCGGUAAGGUGAUAUGAACCGUUAUAACCGGCGAUUUCCGAAUGGGGAAACCCAGUGUGAUUCGUCACACUAUCAUUAACUGAAUCCAUAGGUUAAUGAGGCGAACCGGGGGAACUGAAACAUCUAAGUACCCCGAGGAAAAGAAAUCAACCGAGAUUCCCCCAGUAGCGGCGAGCGAACGGGGAGGAGCCCAGAGCCUGAAUCAGUGUGUGUGUUAGUGGAAGCGUCUGGAAAGGCGCGCGAUACAGGGUGACAGCCCCGUACACAAAAAUGCACAUGCUGUGAGCUCGAUGAGUAGGGCGGGACACGUGGUAUCCUGUCUGAAUAUGGGGGGACCAUCCUCCAAGGCUAAAUACUCCUGACUGACCGAUAGUGAACCAGUACCGUGAGGGAAAGGCGAAAAGAACCCCGGCGAGGGGAGUGAAAAAGAACCUGAAACCGUGUACGUACAAGCAGUGGGAGCCUCUUUAUGGGGUGACUGCGUACCUUUUGUAUAAUGGGUCAGCGACUUAUAUUCUGUAGCAAGGUUAACCGAAUAGGGGAGCCGAAGGGAAACCGAGUCUUAACUGGGCGUUAAGUUGCAGGGUAUAGACCCGAAACCCGGUGAUCUAGCCAUGGGCAGGUUGAAGGUUGGGUAACACUAACUGGAGGACCGAACCGACUAAUGUUGAAAAAUUAGCGGAUGACUUGUGGCUGGGGGUGAAAGGCCAAUCAAACCGGGAGAUAGCUGGUUCUCCCCGAAAGCUAUUUAGGUAGCGCCUCGUGAAUUCAUCUCCGGGGGUAGAGCACUGUUUCGGCAAGGGGGUCAUCCCGACUUACCAACCCGAUGCAAACUGCGAAUACCGGAGAAUGUUAUCACGGGAGACACACGGCGGGUGCUAACGUCCGUCGUGAAGAGGGAAACAACCCAGACCGCCAGCUAAGGUCCCAAAGUCAUGGUUAAGUGGGAAACGAUGUGGGAAGGCCCAGACAGCCAGGAUGUUGGCUUAGAAGCAGCCAUCAUUUAAAGAAAGCGUAAUAGCUCACUGGUCGAGUCGGCCUGCGCGGAAGAUGUAACGGGGCUAAACCAUGCACCGAAGCUGCGGCAGCGACACUAUGUGUUGUUGGGUA